AUGAUUUCAGGUGCUUGCACUUGAAAGAUUUAACAUUGAGACGAGUGGCGAACUGGUGAGUAACACGUGGGUAACCUGCCCUUGAAGUAGGGGAUAACACUUGGAAACAGGUGCUAAUACCGUAUAACAACCAAAACCACCUGGUUUUGGUUUAAAAGACGGCUUCGGCUGUCACUUUAGGAUGGACCCGCGGCGUAUUAGCUUGUUGGUAAGGUAACGGCYUACCAAGGCGAUGAUACGUAGCCGACCUGAGAGGGUAAUCGGCCACAUUGGGACUGAGACACGGCCCAAACUCCUACGGGAGGCAGCAGUAGGGAAUCUUCCACAAUGGACGAAAGUCUGAUGGAGCAACGCCGCGUGAGUGAUGAAGGGUUUCGGCUCGUAAAACUCUGUUGUUGGAGAAGAACAGGUGUCAGAGUAACUGUUGACAUCUUGACGGUAUCCAACCAGAAAGCCACGGCUAACUACGUGCCAGCAGCCGCGGUAAUACGUAGGUGGCAAGCGUUGUCCGGAUUUAUUGGGCGUAAAGCGAGCGCAGGCGGUUUUUUAGGUCUGAUGUGAAAGCCUUCGGCUUAACCGGAGAAGUGCAUCGGAAACCGGGAGACUUGAGUGCAGAAGAGGACAGUGGAACUCCAUGUGUAGCGGUGAAAUGCGUAGAUAUAUGGAAGAACACCAGUGGCGAAGGCGGCUGUCUGGUCUGUAACUGAC
rnacentral:rRNA from 1 species